CAGUGAACGGGUGAGGAAUUG
rnacentral:misc_RNA from 1 species